UACGUAGGGGGCAAGCGUUGUCCGGAAUCAUUGGGCGUAAAGCGCGCGUAGGCGGCCCUGUAAGUCCGUUGUGAAAGUCAAAGGCUCAACCUUUGAAAGCCGAUGGAUACUGCAGGGCUUGAGUCCGGAAGAGGCGAGUGGAAUUCCUGGUGUAGCGGUGGAAUGCGCAGAUAUCAGGAGGAACACCAAUAGCGAAGGCAGCUCGCUGGGACGUUACUGACACUGAGGCGCGAAAGCGUGGGGAGCAAGACGG
rnacentral:rRNA from 1 species